rnacentral:rRNA from 1 species
CCAGCUCCAAUAGCGUAUAUUAAAGUUGUUGCAGUUAAAAAGCUCGUAGUUGGAUUUCUGGUGGGAGUGUGCGUCCCGGUUUUCCGGUGUUCGCCGUCUCCGGCCAUCCUUGGGUGGACCCAGUCUGGCAUUAAGUUGUUGGGCUGGAGAUGCCCAUCGUUUACUGUGAAAAAAUUAGAGUGUUCAAAGCAGGCUUAUGCCGUUGAAUAUAUUAGCAUGGAAUAAUAAGAUAGGACCUUGGUACUAUUUUGUUGGUUUGCGCGCCAAGGUAAUGAUUAAUAGGGACAGUUGGGGAUAUUCGUAUUCCGUUGUCAGAGGUGAAAUUCUUGGAUUUACGGAAGACGAACUACUGCGAAAGCAUUUAUCAAGGAUGUUUUCA